rnacentral:siRNA from 1 species
UUAUAUCGUUACAGUGGUCUAUA